rnacentral:misc_RNA from 1 species
GAUGAAGAACGUAGCGAAAUGCGAUAAGUAAUGUGAAUUGCAGAAUUCAGUGAAUCAUCGAAUCUUUGAACGCAUCUUGCGCUCCUUGGUAUUCUGAGGAGCAUGCCUGUUUGAGUGUCAUUAAAUUCUCAACUACACUGACUUUGAAUUGGUGUGGCUUGGAUUUGGGGGGAAAAUUGUUGUGGGCUUUUUGUAUAGUCUGCUCCCCUGAAAUUGAUUAGCGGUACCUUUGUGGAACUGUCUACAGGUGUGAUAAUUAUCUACAUCUUAGACAUCUGCUGGAAUGCUGCUUUCUAAACCUUACUUGUAUUGACAAUCAUGACCUCAAAUCAGGUAGGACUACCCGCUGAACUUAAGCAUAUCAAUAAGCGGAGGA